rnacentral:misc_RNA from 1 species
UACAGAGGGUGCAAGCGUUAAUCGGAAUUAUUGGGCGUAAAGCGCGCGUAGGCGGCUCUUUAAGUCUCGCUGUGAAAUCUAGGGGCUCAACUCCUAGGCUGCAGGGGAUACUGGAGGGCUAGAGACAGGUAGAGGCCAGCGGAACUCCGGGUGUAGCGGUGGAAUGCGUAGAGAUCCGGAAGAACACCGGAGGCGAAGGCGGCUGGCUGGACCUGAUCUGACGCUGAGGUGCGAAAGCGUGGGGAGCGAACAGG